CACCCCCCAAGCCUUGCUUGAUGUUGGGCCAUGACGCGCUGUCAAGCCCCAAACCUUUAGGCGCCCCCUACUGGCCGCGAGCGUAGCAAGAAUUAUUUCCCUCGUUUCGCGUGUCCAAUGGGCGGGUUGCCGAUUGACCCCCUAAAUUUUACAAG
rnacentral:misc_RNA from 1 species